rnacentral:rRNA from 1 species
GAUGAACGCUGACAGAAUGCUUAACACAUGCAAGUCUUUGGCGAAGCUGUGCUUGCACAGCCUAGCCAAGGCGGACGGGUGAGUAACGCGUAAGGAACUUGCCCUGCAGUCAGGGAUAACAGACGGAAACGACUGAUAAGACCUGGUAAAGUCAGGCGGACUCAUGUCCAGCCUGAUGAAAAGUGAUGCUGCAGGAGAGCCUUGCGUCCUAUUAGCUUGUUGGUGGGGUAACGGCCCACCAAGGCGAUGAUAGGUAGCCGGCCUGAGAGGGUGGACGGCCACAAGGGGACUGAGAUACGGCCCUUACUCCCACGGGAGGCAGCAGUGGGGAAUAUUGGACAAUGGGGGCAACCCUGAUCCAGCAAUUCUGUGUGCACGAUGAAGGUUUUCGGAUUGUAAAGUGCUUUCAGCAGGGAAGAAAAAAAUGACGGUACCUGCAGAAGAAGCGACGGCUAAAUACGUG